rnacentral:rRNA from 1 species
AACGAACGCUGGCGGCAUGCCUAACACAUGCAAGUCGAACGUGAUCCGGAGCUUGCUCCGGUGAAAGUGGCGCACGGGUGAGUAACGCGUGGGAACCUGCCCAGAGGUAGGGAAUAACCGCGGGAAACUGCGGCUAAUACCCUAUAUUCCCUUCGGGGGAAAGAUUUAUCGCCUUUGGAUGGGCCCGCGUCGGAUUAGCUAGUUGGUGAGGUAACGGCUCACCAAGGCGACGAUCCGUAGCUGGUCUGAGAGGAUGAUCAGCCACACUGGGACUGAGACACGGCCCAGACUCCUACGGGAGGCAGCAGUGGGGAAUAUUGGACAAUGGGCGCAAGCCUGAUCCAGCAAUGCCGCGUGAGUGAUGAAGGCCUUAGGGUUGUAAAGCUCUUUCGGCGGGGAAGAUGAUGACGGUACCCGCAGAAGAAGCCCCGGCUAACUUCGUGCCAGCCGCCGCAGUAAUAC